GUUCUCCAGUUGGUCUGUGUGUACUUCAAACGACUAUAUCCUUUUUAACUCAUUAGUACUGGGCAGAAAGGGGACAGGUCCCUGGUAAAGCCCCACCUUCUUCAAACCUGAAGACUGGGGGCUGGGCUGUCAGUUCUGUGGACCAGAGUGAGAACUUACAGUGCUUUUUCCAGGCCUGCCUAUGGCCACCCAUGAACCAGUCAGCAUGCACUUCCUCCCCUCUUUAGCCCAUUAAAACCCUGGACUCAGCCAGACUCAGGCAGACAGUGGGACAACCUACCUAACAAUAUGACCUGUGAGUCUCCUCUCCACUGAGGGCUGUAGAGACA
rnacentral:lncRNA from 1 species